UGCACGAAGAAUGACCACAUGACUGGCAGUUUGUAUUAAUAUUUCCAUCAGUCUUAUUUGUGCUGCCAUGGACGAUACUGACUUAUGGCUUGGUUCUUCUGAAUCACAGAACUCUGGCGCUUGUACUAAUAAUGCGUCAUUAGAAGAUUUACACAUUUUAAUGAAAUGUUACCAGAACUGUUAUAAUUUAUAAGAAACUACAUGAAGUAUUUAAAGAGAUAAAGCGUGAAGCAAAAGGAAGUGAUGUAAAGAAGCAGAUCAAUUCACUAAGGUUGAAUCACAGGAGGGAAUUAAAUAAAAUGAAAUGUUCUAAAUGUGAUAGAAAGACAAUUCUCAAUGAACAUAAUUUAUAGGAACGUAAACAGUAGUCUCAACUGUUACAAAUCAGUGUAUUGUCAAAAACUUUAACAAUGGAAUAAAACAGGAUUAACUAACUAACUCAUUAAUACAAUAAUUGUUAAAAGGUGUGACAUUUAUUUACUUAGCAAGGUAAAUUAAUCAUCUAUUACCUCUACAAUAAUUGUUUCUAUAUCAUUCUCUGCAUUCAUCCAUUCACACAUCUCAACAUCAUCUACACAAAGCUGCUGGCCUUCUCUAAUAUUGCCUUGUGUUUCAUUCAUACUGGUUUCAGGAUCCAUACUUACAUUUAAUGUUCUGUUGGCUAAUACAUCAUCCUGCAUAAUAUCACUUAUACUGUCUGAUUCAUCUGAACUUAAAUCAGAUUCACUAUCAGAUUCUCCAAGUGAUAUUAUGACAGGAGGAAUAUCUUUAACACUGGUAUUACCCAUCAUUCUUUGCCAAUCAUCCUUGAUAAUAUUUUCACAGUGGAUUACACUUGAUGUCCACAUCUCUGGUGUAUAUUUAGACAUAGCUUCAAUCCACAAGUGCUUGAUUUCCGAUUUUUUGGAAGACUGCUUCAAGAUGUGUUUGUUAUAAUAUGGUUUACAGAAUCGCCAUACUAUUUCUAUAGCAUUAUAGUGGCAGUGAUAUGGAGGUAAACGUAAAACUUCAAUAUUACUCUUUGACAACAAUUCAUCAAUCUCAUAUUUACGAGUUGAUGGUAAAAGAGGUUUGAUAAUAUCCCAAAGCUGUUUUUUUGUCAAAUUAUCGCCAAAAGGAAUUUUUUUUUGUGCAAGCCAAAAUUUUAAUUUUGAUUUAAUCCAAGACAAACGAGGCAAUUGUUCUGCUAACACCGAAUGAUAAGGUGCAUUGUCCAUGAUGAUAACAACCUUACCGUUAAUAAAAUUAACAGAUGGAAUUAACUGUGUUUCCACCCAUUGCCUGAACAAUUGCCCGUUCAUAGUCUUAUGAUAGUCCCUGCUAUCAUUAUUGCUAUCUAAAAAUAGCAAGCAGUUUUCCAAAAAACCAAAUUUACCCCCUGCAUGAAGUAUGGUAAACCUUCGACCCUCAUUCAUUACUAUUUUCGCAGGCAUGCCUCUCCGAUCACUCUCAUGCACCCAUCUUCUUACUGGUACACCAUGCUGAUACACCCACGUCUCGUCUAAAUAAACAAAUGUCACAUCUUCUUCCAUUAACUGUAUGUAACGCCUUAAAAAUUUAAUUUUUAAUCCCUGUAAGCGGGGCGACUCAAUUAUAAUUUUCCUGUUUUCAACUUUUUUAAAAUUGUAACCCAUGGAUUUAAUAACCCUUCGUAGAGUCCGGAUACUUGCGUUGUAAUUAAGAUUUUCUGUGGCAAAAUUAAAUAAAUCCUGAAUUGUAAAAAACUCA